rnacentral:rRNA from 1 species
GUGUCAGCCGCCGCGGUAAUACAGAGGGUGCUAGCGUUAAUCGGAUUUACUGGGCGUAAAGCGUGUGUAGGCGGUUUGUUAAGUCGGGUGUGAAAUCCCUGGGCUCAACCUGGGAAUUGCAUUCGAUACUGGCAAGCUAGAGUACGGUAGAGGGCGGCGGAAUUCCGGGUGUAGCGGUGAAAUGCGUAGAUAUCCGGAGGAACACCGAUGGCGAAGGCAACCGCCUGGGCCUGUACUGACGCUGAGACACGAAAGCGUGGGGAGCAAACAGGAUUAGAUACCCCGGUAGUCC